GUUAUUUUGAAAAGAAUGCUUUUGUGUUUCUUACAUUCUUCAACCUUUUUACACAUGACUCUUUUCUCACACACAAACACAUUUCAACAAUUCGUGCAAAGCCGAUUUCUCAAGCUUUUCUGCCAGGCACCGCUAACUCAAUUGAGGGCUCUCCUCAACACAGGCACAGUUCAUCCAUGAUCCAGCCCCAUCAGUAACUCUUCAUUCAAGCACAGCGGCCGGGAAGCAGCCAGCAGGGUUAAUGAUGAGCAGGGGGACAGAUGGUUUUGGUUGUCAACAGGAAUGAUGGCGCCCAGCCUGGUCUCUGUCAUUGAAGUGAGACAGACGGACAGACGGACAAAUGGGACGGCAGCACUUGUUCUAUGUGGUCGCAGGCUGAUGGUGACAUUUAGCUGGAUUACUUUUUUUGUGAAAAUCAACCUAUUCCUUUUUAUUACUGGUCAACAAGUAAUCGAGUGUAGCUAUUAUAUUAAUAUUUGAAUGGACUGCUGAUGAAUAGAGAAACAUUUCAUGUUUAGGCAAUAUCUUU
ensembl:lncRNA